rnacentral:miRNA from 14 species
CAUGAUGACAUCAUGACAUGAAGUCAUGAUGUGUUGAACAUCAUGACUUCAUGUUAUCAUGUCAUGAUGACAUCAUGACAUCAUGACAUGAAGUCAUGAUGUCAUGAUGUCAUCAUGACAUCAUGACAUCAUGACUUCAUGACAUCAUGACUUCAUGUUAUCAUGUCAUGAUG